AGUGAACGCUGGCGGCAGGCCUAACACAUGCAAGUCGAGCGGAAGAAGGGAGCUUGCUUGUGGUUUCAGCGGGGGACGGGUGAGUAAUGCCGAGGAAUCUGCCUGGCUUUGUUGUAGAACGGCCUGAAACAGGCGCUAAUACCGCAUAAGUGCUGAGGGAGAAAGUGGGGGAGCUUCGGACCUUACGCUAUCAGAUGAGCCUAGGUCGGAUUAGCUAGUUGGUGGGGUAAAGGCCUACCAAGGCGACGAUCCGUAACUGGUCUGAGAGGAUGAUCAGUCACACUGGAACUGAGACACGGUCCAGACUCCUACGGGAGGCAGCAGUGGGGAAUAUUGGACAAUGGGCGCAAGCCUGAUCCAGCCAUGCCGCGUGUGUGAAGAAGGCCUUCGGAUUGUAAAGCCCUUUAAGUUGGGAGGAAGGGCAGUAAGUUAAUACCUUGCUGUUUUGACGUUACCAAAAGAAUAAGCACCGGCUAACUUCGUG
rnacentral:rRNA from 1 species